GACGAACGCUGGCGGCGUGCUUAACACAUGCAAGUCGAACGGAAAGGCCCUGCUUUUGUGGGGUGCUCGAGUGGCGAACGGGUGAGUAACACGUGAGUAACCUGCCCUUGACUUUGGGAUAACUUCAGGAAACUGGGGCUAAUACCGGAUAGGAGCUCCUGCUGCAUGGUGGGGGUUGGAAAGUUUCGGCGGUUGGGGAUGGACUCGCGGCUUAUCAGCUUGUUGGUGGGGUAGUGGCUUACCAAGGCUUUGACGGGUAGCCGGCCUGAGAGGGUGACCGGCCACAUUGGGACUGAGAUACGGCCCAGACUCCUACGGGAGGCAGCAGUGGGGAAUAUUGCAGAAUGGGCGGAAGCCUGAUGCAGAAACGCCGCGUGCGGGAUGACGGCCUUCGGGUGGUAAACCGCUUUCGCCUGUGACGAAGCGUGAGUGACGGUAAUGGGUAAAGAAGCACCGGCUAACUACGUG
rnacentral:rRNA from 1 species